rnacentral:rRNA from 1 species
UAACGCGUGGGUAACCUGCCUUAUACAGGGGGAUAACAGUUAGAAAUGACUGCUAAUACCGCAUAAGCGCACAGUACCGCAUGGUAGUGUGUGAAAAACUCCGGUGGUAUAAGAUGGACCCGCGUCUGAUUAGCCAGUUGGCGGGGUAACGGCCCACCAAAGCGACGAUCAGUAGCCGACCUGAGAGGGUGACCGGCCACAUUGGGACUGAGACACGGCCCAAACUCCUACGGGAGGCAGCAGUGGGGAAUAUUGCACAAUGGGGGAAACCCUGAUGCAGCAACGCCGCGUGAGUGAAGAAGUAUUUCGGUAUGUAAAGCUCUAUCAGCAGGGAAGAAGAUGACGGUACCUGAUUAAGAAGCCCCGGCUAACUACGUGCCAGCAGCCGCGGUAAUACGUAGGGGGCAAGCGUUAUCCGGAUUUACUGGGUGUAAAGGGAGCGCAGACGGCAGUGCAAGUCUGGAGUGAAAGCCCGGGGCCCAACCCCGGGACUGCUCUUGGAACUGCGUGGCUGGAGUGCAGGAGGGGCAGGCGGAAUUCCUGGUGUAGCGGUGAAAUGCGUAGAUAUCAGGAGGAACACCGGUGGCGAAGGCGGCCUGCUGGACUGCAACUGACGUUGAGGCCCGAAAGCGUGGGGAGCAAACAGGAUUAGAUACCCUGGUAGU